GUGCCAGCAGCCGCGGUAAUACGGAGGGGUGCAAGCGUUAAUCGGAAAUUACUGGGCGUAAAGCGCACGCAGGCGGUCAAUUAAGUCAGAUGUGAAAGCCCCGAGCUUAACUUGGGAAUUGCAUCUGAAACUGGUUGGCUAGAGUCUUGUAGAGGGGGGUAGAAUUCCAUGUGUAGCGGUGAAAUGCGUAGAGAUGUGGAGGAAUACCGGUGGCGAAUGGCGGCCCCCUGGACAAAGACUGACGCUCAGGUGCGAAAGCGUGGGGAGCAAACAGGAUUAGAUACCCUGGUAGUCC
rnacentral:rRNA from 1 species